CUGCACCCCUCCGGGCCGAGCGGCGAGCAGGCACCGGCGGGCACGGCCGCCGCGGAGGGGGAGCACGGCGGGACAGGCGGGCACAGCCCCCUCCCCGGCCCGCGCCUCCGGCGGGCGGAGGGGCGGGGGGCUUCGCCUUCCCACAAAAGAGCUGCAGCCGAAAGGCGCCUGUAAUUUGCUGUUGCUUCGAUACGAAGGUGUGAGCAGACAAUACCUGAGUUUUGUGAGCCUGCUGCCUUCUCGCAAAUCCAACCUCUCAACGCUAAUUUUGACGGUUUUGAUUUUCCAAGUGUUUUCUCGCUCCUACGUGCGGCUCACUAAAUUGCGAGCUUCCUAUAGCGUCGAUCUAGAGCUUGGAAAUUGAGCGUGUGUCGCAGGCGAUGUAAGGAUGACAACAAAGGAUGUGUAGCCCCCCCGCCCCCUUAAAUUAAUACACAUUCCAGAGGAGUUGAAAUAGUUGCCCCUGAAGUCGUUUCCGUUUGUGGUGGUGCAAUGGAUGGCACAGGCUUACACAUUCCUGGCAACCCGUUUCUCAUUAGUGUGUAACAGCUGCAUGUGAAUAAACAGAUUCCUUGUUCUGCA